rnacentral:rRNA from 1 species
UGAUCCAGCAAUGCCGCGUGANGUGAUGAAGGCCUUAGGGUUGUAAAGCUCUUUUACCCGGGAUGAUAAUGACAGUACCGGGAGAAUAAGCUCCGGCUAACUCCGUGCCAGCAGCCGCGGUAAUACGGAGGGAGCUAGCGUUGUUCGGAAUUCUGGGCGUAAGCGCACGUAGGCGGCUUUGUAAGUCAGAGGUGAAAGCCUGGAGCUCAACUCCAGAACUGCCUUUGAGACUGCAUCGCUUGAAUCCAGGAGAGGUGAGUGGAAUUCCGAGUGUAGAGGUGAAAUUCGUAGAUAUUCGGAAGAACACCAGUGGCGAAGGCGGCUCACUGGACUGGUAUUGACGCUGAGGUGCGAAAGCGUGGGGAGCAACAGGAUUAGAUACCCUGGUAGUCCACGCCGUAAACGAUGAUAACUAGCUGUCCGGGGACUUGGUCUUUGGGUGGCGCACCUAACCCAUUUAANUUNUCCCCCCUGGGGANUACGGCCCCCAAGGGUUAAAACNCAAAAGGAANUNGACCGGGGGCC